AGCGGAGACGGCGUUCCCUAAUUCAUCUAUUCCCCGAUCUAUCCCUAAAAAAAUAAUCUAUUCCCCGAUCUCGUAUGCUCAUGGGUUAACUGAACAAACCGGAUCGGAGGCAGCCCGCAGCCGCCAUUGCUUGUUUCCCUUCCUCUCACGGCAAGCCGGUGGUUGGGAUGGAUGGUGGAGCCACGUUCAUUCCAGACCUCAGGGAGACGUGCUGGCCCGCGUUGUUCUAUCUGAUGAUGGCCAUGUUGGAUCUGAGUCAGUCCGGCCAUGCAGCCGGCCAAGAUCUGACGGUGGAGACGCAGGUUAUAAGUUGCGUGCCGGCGAACUACGCCACUCUCCGGUCUCCAGGUGAUGGACGCAUACAUAGUGACGCAAAUUGCCAAGCGCCUCUCAUCUCAUGUAAGUCUAAAUCACAUCAUGGCGAUUGCCUGAUCAGGUGAUUAACGUUGAUCCGAUCAAUCCGAGGUAACAUCACUAUGUACUUCGUAUAUCUAUACUACUCAAUCUCUAAUGGUAAGAAACCAAGGGCUAUAGUGUUCUCUUUAAUUCAUUUUUUAACGUAAAUCAUGCAUGCUACUUACUCAAAAGGUCAGGGAUCUCAGCAGAGACAAAGGGAAGAAUACAGUCCAGGGAUCCGAGGUAACAUCAGACUAUAUACUUCCUCUAUCUAUAUUGCAGUGAUCGAGCAUUGAUAGAAUUUAAUUUUGGUAACAUCAGACUAUGUACUUCGCCUUUUAGCAGUGCUUAUUAUCAUGUUGACUUUGCACUCGGUAAAACAGAGAAAAAAAUGAAACAUGAACUAUAAAGAGGAUUUGUCGGCCCCAUCAUAAGUGAAUUUUAUGAAGGAUUAUUAGAAAAGGUUCAAAGGUAAUAUGUAUAAAUUAUUUGAUAAGAAUGUCGCUUUUGCCGCAGUUUUGUGGCGUUUAAGCAAUUUAAGCAAUCAUAUAUAUUCCUAUAAUGUUUAUGUCAAGGGGGCCCCAAGUUUUGGUUCCACGGGCCCCUAAAACCUCAGGACCGGCCCUGCAUAACCCCUUACAGACCAUGGGCCUUCGUCCUCCCAUUUUCUCUCCUUCCGUAUUCCUUUCUUGCCUUCGCCGCCGCUUCAAUACCCGGACUGUCCCGCCACACCUUUGCCGGAACUUAACAACUCCGUCACCUCCAACUGUACAUCCGGGCUCCACGUUGCUUCUCCUCCGCCGCCAGUCCACACCACUAAAGUAAGCACUAGCUAUAGCACCAGCAGCAAACAUGCAACAACACACAAGCACUACCACCAACUAUUCAAUAUUCUGCAAAACCGUAUAUAUGCAAUAACAACAAAGUAGCCUCAAGCACCAGCAGCAGAAACAUCAGAGCAACAACAGUAUAUAUGCAUAACAACAAGCAGUAGCCUUAAGCACCAGCAGCAGUAGAGUAGGAGGAGCUCACCAGCCAACACAGAGCACAGCAGAUCCAGGAGCAAAGCAGAACACACCGAAGAGGAGCACCCACACGCCCGGUGGCAACAAUAGCUACAUCAACAGUAAGGACAGCAACAACAACAGCUCAAACAUCAACAAGAUCAACGGUAGGUUUUGCAGAACAUUGAGAAUAACUACUGCCUCUGUAAACAAAUAUAAGACAUUUUGAGUCACCAAGUAGUGACCUAAAUUAAGAAAAUUGAACACCAUAAUAAGCACCAGAGGUAUAAAACAACCAUCAAGAUAACUAAAUAUACUAUACUAAUCAUCGAUUGAUUAGUGCAUGCUAUAUAUAUGCACAAUCUUAAUAUACCAUUACUACUAAAUAUAUGCGUUUUUGUCCUAGACCACCACCGAUGUCACCAUAUCGAUGACUAGGACCAGCAAGCAGAGACCGGCCAUGGUGACCUGCAGCCAUCUGCUCCUCGCAUUCGUCCUCAAGAUUUGUGGUGGAGGGGGAGGGAGGGAUUACUUUGGUGGUAGAGGCCGACGGCGACGAAGUUGAAGCCCGGGUGGGGGAGGUCGAUGCAGACGGUGACGGAGGUGAAGCCCGGGCGAUGGAGGUCGAUGCAGACGGUGAUGGCGGUGUAGCCCGAGCGGUGGAGGUCGAUGCAGACGGCGACGGAGGUGAAGCCCGGGUGGUGGAGGUCGAUGCGGACAGAGGUCAAGCACGAGCAGCACGGCCGCUGACAGACCAAACCCUAGCCCGCCGCGGUGACCACGGUGGUGUGGUGGGUGGGCUCCGGCCGCGAGAGGUCCGGCCGGUGGGCGGCGGCGUCGAGAUCCGGGGAAAAGGGCGUAUUUGGGUGCGCGGCUGCUCAGUGUGGUGUGCAGUGGGCGGCGGAUCGAUGUUUUGUAACUGAGAGAAUGAUUUUAAUAGUUCAUGGAUGCAGCAAAAAAUAUCUCCAACUUUUGAAAGAGUGUCACGGAAAGGAUUCGGAACUGAGCCUUUCAGAGAAGUAUGCUAGUUCUUUCUAUGCUAAAUAUCUCUUCUUUCAUGGAUGCAUUAAAUAAAAAAUAUUUUGACAUUUUAAUUAUUAUGUGCGUAAUUCAAAUUGCCAGCCCAUGUAGGUGCAUGGUGGAUGACUGGUAAAUAAUAACUAGAAAUAAAAGUACAAAUAAAAGUUCUUGAAAGGGUUUCUUAUGAUAAGAAUUGGACUGGGGUUCAUUGGUACUGGAGGCUGCUAGAAAUUUCUGAAUAGUGGCUGGCUACAAAGAAAGCAAGCAGAAUUAGCAAGUAGAGUAGAGUAGCACUGGGAGUACUAGACACUGCAAGUACGCAUCAUGAUGAGAGAGAAAGCAUGUGAUGGGGUAGCCUGGGUAAAGGCGCACAAGCUGAACAGAUUAAAGAAUAGCAAACAAAGGGAAAAUGUAAUAUAUGUACAGCUAAAUAGCUUUUACUUGCUCUUAUAAAUUCAUUUGACAAAUAUUAUUACCCUUGUUUUCUUAGUUUUUUGUCAACAAUUCUUUGAAAAAGCCUGAUCUGCAAAACAGACAGAAUUAAUGUUUAAAUUAUUAUUCUAUUUCUAACGACGAUAAAAAAUUGCAAACAGUACUCUUUCCAUUUCUCAAUCUAAUACUACGUCUUAAACUUUAUUAAGACAAACGUUUGAGGACGAACCUAUCAUCCUUUUUUCUCAAGCUAUUUUAUAUUGUGUAAAUUCAGUAUUACACAGAUAUAUUGUUAAAUCAUGUAUAAUCUUAUAACUAAUGACUAAUUGUCUGACGAAUUGUGUGACUCCAACUAUGGUAGUUCAAAUCAUGAUAAUACUUUUAAAAAAUAGUGUAAAAUAUGAUACUACUUAAAAUUACCCACAUGUAUGUGUGCUAAUAACUAUUUCUACACGUGCAUGGCAUGUGGCAUUUACUAGUAGAUAAUAAGUGUGGCAAGAUAACAUUGACAUGUGAAAAACAAAAUAUCCGGGGACAAGGAGAUUUGGUGCCCGAGCCCAGCUGGUCCCGAUAUCCUCUCCUUCCGUUCCGCGCUAGGGAUCCGAGAAAAGAGGCCUGGCGCAUCUGACGCUGAAUUAUGGAAAUCAGGCGGGAGGUGAAAUACGGGACGGAACAGUGUAUUGUACGUGGGACCCAGACAUAGCGGUGGGACGACGGAGACGCGUGAGGUAGCUAAUCCGUCGACCAGAAUGUUAGUGCUUUUACCGUGCCUAGGAUCAGAUCAGGGGAACAAGACGUCGGGGUAAAAGCUGAGCCGUCUGUCAGACACGUCUAUGUGAUACACAUGCGCACAUCGGCUGUAGGCGGCGACCCGGCCCCCAUCCAAAUCCCCCGGUCCAUCUAGCACGUCGUUGUUCAUUCUGGAACCCUGAUUUGUGCUGGUGCCCAGCCCCCUACCAUUUUACUUGCGGCGGCGUUGGUGGCCAUUUGAAUGGAUGAUGUUGGCAUGGGGUUCCUCCUCGAUGCCGUUGACAGGUUAGAUACUUCAGAUCUGCAAAGUUUUUCAGCAAUUUUCAGUGUGUUUUCACUGACGCGCCAUGGCCGCCGCCGUUGCCGUUGGAUUCUCAUGUCCCCCCUGCAUGAGGAGUUCGCCGAUAGUCAUGAGCAGCCAGAUCCGGUCCCUAUGUCCUUGUUGGUAAACAGCGGACCAGGAGUUGCCCUCCCUGCAGAAUCAGAAGUUGGCUAUGGUUGUGGUCAGCAAAUCGGCAACGAGGACAAUAAUAGUACACGAGCUGGAGUCCGGCGACGACCUGAUUCAUCGCCGACGAGGUCUGUGCAUCGACUGACAGAGUCAACCUGCAGGCCCGUGGGUGGACAAAAAGAUUACGUCUGGGUAGUGCGCCACCAGACAGGACACCAUGCCCUUCCCGAAUUAUUGCUAUGGAGCAGUCGAUUUGCAAGUACGCAGAAGAGCCGUCAAAGAGUGUGAUAACGCCCGAACUCGGGCUGAAUUUUGAUUUGUUAGGUGAGGCAUGCAACUUUUACAAUCUGUAUUCGUGGGAGAUAGGCUUUGCUAUUAAAUAUGGUAAAAGCAGAUAGAACGUGGAGAGGACAAAGUGCAUGCAACAGAUUGUGUGCGGGUACUCGGGCAAACCGGAAACGGAGAACAGUAGGUCCUGCAGAUGUCAGUGUCCGGGCUUGAUUAGGUCGUUGCGUGCAGCAGAAAACAGUUGAUACAUCACAGAGCACCGUGAAAGAGCCACAACCACUCUAUGCCGUUGAUGAUCGGUGAAAAAGUGCACGGGCCGUCUCACAAGCACAUUGAUGUGUACAUUAAAGAUUUGAUAAAGCGGCUAAGGGAGAAUAAUGUGAAUUUUGGAAAGGUGUACAACAUCAUUGGCAGUUUUUUUGGGUCGAUCGAGAAGGUGCCAUUCACGAAGAGGACUCUAAGGAACAUUUAUGGGAAGAUCAGCCGUGAGCAGGCAGAAGGCGAUGUUAGGAAGACAUUGGAGGUGUGUGCAGACAUUGUCAAUGAUGACCCUGGUUUGACAUAUAAAGUUUUGGCAGAGAGAACAAGUAAGGUCAAAAACCUCAUGUUGACUAACGGAAGCAACCGAAUGCAGUACAAGUUUUUUAGUGAUGUGGUUACAUUCAACACAACCUACAUGAAAAACCUUUGGUCUUUUUGUUGGGGUUAACAAUCAUUUUCAGAGCAUUAUACUUGCUGGUGCCUUGAUGAGGGAGGAACAAGUAGAGAGCUUCAAGUGGUUUUUUUAGUGAGUU